GACGUAGGAUGCGAGCGUUAUUCGGAUUUAUUGGGCGUAAAGCGUGCGUAGGCGGCUGUUUAAGUCGUGGUGUUAAAGCUAGGGGCUCAACCCCUGUGGUGCAUCGGAUACUGGGCAGCUUGGAGUGCGGUAGGGGAAGGUGGAAUUCCGAGUGUAGCGGUGAAAUGCGUAGAUAUUCGGAAGAACACCGGUGGCGAAGGCGACCUUCUGGGCCGCAACUGACGCUGAGGCACGAAAGCCUGGGGAGCGAACGGG
rnacentral:rRNA from 1 species